AUAACACAAGGCUGUGCAGUGUUUGUGUCCAUGUCUUGCCAAAAUAUACAUAUUGGAAACAGAUAAGAAAAAAAGACAUGCACAGGAAGGUUGUUGUAUUUCGACGAUGUCACUGUCCUCUCCGUCCAGAUGCUACACACAUCAGGCCAAGAACAAAAGUAGUUCAUUGUUGAGUUGGUUCUACAUCCUGAGCUGAUGAAGUGAGCAGCUGUAAGCUACGUGUUCCUGUGACAGUUAAGACUGUGCCAUGCUGGCAGCCCAAGUGAGGCAAAUCCAGUCUAUUCCAAUUAUACAGUGGAGCGCUUUACUCCACUUACUGAAGUAAGUGCAUUACCCACUAAUCAGUGCCUGGCUGUACUUGUUAGUGCAUGACCUUCCCUCAUAUUCAUGCCAAAGUAAGUGCUUCUGGAAAAUUAGCUUGCAUUUCCCAAUCACAGUGAUUUCUCUUAUUCAUAUGCAGAGGAGUAUGUAUUUUUAGAAUUUGUUGCUUUGAGAGAAAAAGAUUGCCAUGGAAAAAUCUGCAUGUUUUUCUGUUUUCUGCCUGUAGCACACAUAAGAGCACACAUUAGCAUAUGCACAGACCUGCAUUAGUAAAAAGGAGCCCGGUGGAGUUUUCACUCUUUUCUCACCGAAAACACAUUUUAUGCUUCUCUAAGGUCUAACAAACAUGAUGAAUGCAUUUCAUACCUCAUUAAACAUUUGCAAAGACUUUUCUUGAAUGUUUUAGGUGCAAAUUGUUUAGGUUCCCACGAUUCCUCCGAAUGAAAUGAGCAAAUACGUUGCUUGACUGUGCUUUCCAAAAAAAAAAAGCUGUUUUAUGAUGUGACAAUGCUGUGGUUGAGGUCUGGUUAGGUUUAGGCACAAAAACAACUUGGUUGGGUUUAGGGAAAGCUCAUGGUUUGGGUUAAAAUGAUUAUUUUGUAAACACGUGGUGUGGUUAAAGUUAGGUGACCUUCAUCGUCAUGGCUACAAUAAUAACCAUGGGGUUAUGGUUAGGGGAUGAUUG